rnacentral:rRNA from 1 species
UCGAGGAUAUUUAGCAAUGGACGAAAGUCUGACUAUGUGACGCCGCGUGAGGGAUGAAGGAUUUCGGUUCGUAAACCUCUUUCGAUGGGGAAGAAUGAUCUACUUAAUCAGUAGACUUGACGGUACCCAGAGAAGAAGCCACGGCCAACUCCGUGCCAGCAGCCGCGGUAAUACGGGGGUGGCGAGCGUUACUCGGAUUUAUUGGGUGUAAAGGGCAGGUAGGCGUCCUUGCAAGUUUUGGGUGAAAUCCUAAGGCUCAACCUUAGAACUGCCUAAAAAACUGCGAGGAUUGAGGCUAGAAGAGGAGAGCGGAAUUCCCGGUGUAAGGGUGAAAUCUGUAGAUAUCGGGAGGAACACCAGUGGCGAAAGCGGCUCUCUAGGCUGGAUCUGACGCUAAACUGCGAAAGCUAGGGGAGCAAACAGG